GAUGAACGCUGGCGGCGUGCCUAAUACAUGCAAGUCGAGCGAACGGACGAGAAGCUUGCUUCUCUGAUGUUAGCGGCGGACGGGUGAGUAACACGUGGAUAACCUACCUAUAAGACUGGGAUAACUUCGGGAAACCGGAGCUAAUACCGGAUAAUAUUUUGAACCGCAUGGUUCAAAAGUGAAAGACGGUCUUGCUGUCACUUAUAGAUGGAUCCGCGCUGCAUUAGCUAGUUGGUAAGGUAACGGCUUACCAAGGCGACGAUGCAUAGCCGACCUGAGAGGGUGGUCGCCGACACUGGAGGUGGACCGGCGUCCAGACUACUACGGGAGGCAGCAGUAGGGAAUCUUCCGCAGUGGGCGAGAGCAUGACGGAGCAGCGCCGCGUGAGUGAUGAAGGUCUUCGGAUCGUAAAGCUCUGUUAUUAGGGAAGAACAGAUGUGUAAGUAACUGUGCACAGCUUGACGGUACCUAGUAAGAAAGCCACGGCUAACUACGUG
rnacentral:rRNA from 1 species